UGAGUAACCUGCCCUUAACUCUGGGAUAAGCCUGGGAAACUGGGUCUAAUGCCGGAUAUGACUCCUCAUCGCAUGGUGGGGGGUGGAAAGCUUUUUGUGGUUUUGGAUGGACUCGCGGCCUAUCAGCUUGUUGGUGAGGUAAUGGCUCACCAAGGCGACGACGGGUAGCCGGCCUGAGGAGGGUCGACCGGCCACACGUGGACUGACGACGACCGGCCCAGACCUCCGUACGGGAGGCA
rnacentral:rRNA from 1 species